AGGAAACAGGCUAUGACCAUGAUUACGCCAAGCUUGGUACCGAGCUCGGAUCCACUAGUAACGGCCGCCAGUGUGCUGGAAUUCGCCCUUCAGGCCUAACACAUGCAAGUCGAACGCCCUCUUCGGAGGGAGUGGCAGACGGGUGAGUAACACGUGGGAACGUGCCCGAAGGUACGGAACAACUCCGGGAAACUGGAGCUAAUACCGUAUGUGUCCGCAAGGAGAAAGAUUUAUCGCCUUCGGAUCGGCCCGCGUCAGAUUAGCUAGUUGGUGGGGUAAAAGCCUACCAAGGCGACGAUCUGUAGCUGUUCUUAGAGGAAGACCAGCCACACUGGGACUGAGACACGGCCCAGACUCCUACGGGAGGCAGCAGUGGGGAAUCUUGGACAAUGGGCGCAAGCCUGAUCCAGCCAUGCCGCGUGGAUGACGAAGGCCUUAGGGUUGUAAAAUCCUUUCAGCGGGGACGAUAAUGACG
rnacentral:rRNA from 1 species